CCAAUAGCGUAUAUUAAAGUUGUUGCAGUUAAAAAGCUCGUAGUUGAAUUUCGGGAUCAGAUUGUCGGUCGUGCCUCGGUACGCACUGGCAUUAUUGGUUCCUACCUUCUGAAGAACCGCGAUGUCAUUAAUUUGGUGUCGUGGGGAAUCAGGACUGUUACUUUGAAAAAAUUAGAGUGUUUAAAGCAGGCGCACGCUUG
rnacentral:rRNA from 1 species